rnacentral:tRNA from 16 species
GGAGGAAUAGCGAAGUGGCUAAACGCGGCGGUCUGUAAAACCGCUCUCUCUGAGUUCGGUGGUUCGAAUCCACUUUCCUCCA